UUUGACCUCGGAUCAGGUAGGGAUACCCGCUGAACUUAAGCAA
rnacentral:rRNA from 1 species